GGUAGAUACUAAUAUACUCUUAUUUUUCUUGAGAAAGAUAUUGAAGCUUGAGAAGUUAAUGAAACCAUGUCUUGUUGUUGCUGUUACCAUGUUUUUUUCUUCUUCUUCCUUUGUGUCUUUUCUCACAAGCUUCAUUGCUUCUACUCAAAAACUUUCCUCAUGUCAUGGCCGUCCCAAGAUAACAUUACCUGAUCUUUAAAACCACAGCUGAAAAAGGUUGGAAUUACAUAGCCAUAAUCAUCGCCAUUGGUGUACCAAUUGGAGUAGUCGUUCUGCUUUUCGUU